rnacentral:rRNA from 1 species
GAGUUUGAUCAUGGCUCAGGACGAACGCUGGCGGCGUGCUUAACACAUGCAAGUCGAGCGAUGGCUUCCUUCGGGAAGUAUUAGCGGCGGACGGGUGAGUAACACGUGGGCAACCUGCCUCAAAGUGGGGGAUAGCCCUCCGAAAGGAGGAUUAAUACCGCAUAACAUGAGAAUCGCAUGAUUUUUCAUCAAAGAUUUAUUGCUUUGAGAUGGGCCCGCGGCGCAUUAGCUAGUUGGUGAGGUAACGGCUCACCAAGGCAACGAUGCGUAGCCGACCUGAGGGGGUGAUCGGCCACAUUGGAACUGAGAUACGGUCCAGACUCCUACGGGAGGCAGCAGUGGGGAAUAUUGCGCAAUGGGGGAAACCCUGACGCAGCAACGCCGCGUGAGUGAUGAAGGUCUUCGGAUUGUAAAGCUCUGUUUUCUGGGACGAUAAUGACGGUACCAGAGGAGGAAGCCACGGCUAACUACGUGCCAGCAGCCGCGGUAAUACGUAGGUGGCGAGCGUUGUCCGGAUUUACUGGGCGUAAAGAGUGCGUAGGCGGAUGCUUAAGUGAGAUGUGAAAUACCCGGGCUUAACUUGGGGGCUGCAUUUCAAACUGGGCAUCUAGAGUACAGGAGAGGAAAGCGGAAUUCCUAGUGUAGCGGUGAAAUGCGUAGAUAUAGGAAGAACACCAGUGGCGA